CCUACGGGAGGCUGCAGUGGGGAAUAUUGGACAAUGGGGGGAACCCUGAUCCAGCCAUGCCGCGUGUGUGAAGAAGGCCCUCGGGUUGUAAAGCACUUUCAGUGAGGAAGAACGCCUGGUGGUUAAUACCCAUCAGGAAAGACAUCACUCACAGAAGAAGCACCGGCUAACUCCGUGCCAGCAGCCGCGGUAAUACGGAGGGUGCGAGCGUUAAUCGGAAUUACUGGGCGUAAAGCGCGCGUAGGUGGCUUGAUAAGCCGGUUGUGAAAGCCCCGGGCUCAACCUGGGAACGGCAUCCGGAACUGUCAAGCUAGAGUGCAGGAGAGGAAGGUAGAAUUCCCGGUGUAGCGGUGAAAUGCGUAGAGAUCGGGAGGAAUACCAGUGGCGAAGGCGGCCUUAUGGACUGACACUGACACUGAGGUGCGAAAGCGUGGGUAGCAAACAGGAUUAGAUACCCUAGUAGUC
rnacentral:rRNA from 1 species